CUCGACACCACUCAGCACAUUUCAGGUGCUGCUGCCAUGUGAGAGCCAGUGUGCCCUGAUAGAUGGUGCCCUUAGCACUAGGACAGGAACAGCAGCAGAGAAAAAGGACACGAUGUCAUAAAAUGCUUUGUGCCAUUGCUGGGGGCACUGAAAC